rnacentral:rRNA from 1 species
GACGGGGAGCACCACAACGGGUGGAGCUUGCGGUUUAAUUGGAUUCAACGCCGGAAAUCUUACCGGGACCGACAGCAAUAUGAAGGCCAGGCUGAAGACUUUGCCGGAUUAGCUGAGAGGUGGUGCAUGGCCGUCGUCAGUUCGUACUGUGAAGCAUCCUGUUAAGUCAGGCAACGAGCGAGACCCACGCCCACAGUUGCCAGCGUACUCUCCGGAGUGACGGGUACACUGUGGGGACCGCCGCUGCUAAAGCGGAGGAAGGAAUGGGCAACGGUAGGUCAGUAUGCCCCGAAUAUCCCGGGCUACACGCGAGCUACAAUGGUUGGUACAAUGGGUAUCUACCCCGAAAGGGGACGGGAAUCUCCUAAAACCAAUCUUAGUUCGGAUUGAGGGCUGCAACUCGCCCUCAUGAAGCUGGAAUCCGUAGUAAUCGCGUUUCAACAGAACGCGGUGAAUACGUCCCUGCUCCUU